rnacentral:rRNA from 1 species
UGGGGAAUAUUGCACAAUGGGCGCAAGCCUGAUGCAGCCAUGCCGCGUGUAUGAAGAAGGCCUUCGGGUUGUAAAGUACUUUCAGCGGGGAGGAAGGGAGUAAAGUUAAUACCUUUACUCAUUGACGUUACCCGCAGAAGAAGCACCGGCUAACUCUGUGCCAGCAGCCGCGGUAAGACGGAGGGUGCAAGCAUUAAUCGGAAUUACUGGGCGUAAAGCGCACGCAGGCGGUUUGUUAAGUCAGAUGUGAAAUCCCCGGGCUCAACCUGGGAACUGCAUCUGAUACUGGCAAGCUUGAGUCUCGUAGAGGGGGGUAGAAUUCCAGGUGUAGCGGUGAAAUGCGUAGAGAUCUGGAGGAAUACCGGUGGCGAAGGCGGCCCCCUGGACGAAGACUGACGCUCAGGUGCGAAAGCGUGGGGAGCAAACAGG